rnacentral:lncRNA from 1 species
UUUUUCUUUUUGCCUUUUAGAGCUGCAGGGACAUAUGGAAGUUCCCAGGAAAGGGGUCAAAAUGGAGCGAUGGCUACUGACCUAUGUCACAGCCGCAGCAUGUGGGAUCUGAGCCAUGUCUGUGACCUACCCCACAGCUCAGAGCAAUGCUGGAUCCUUUAACCAACUGAGUGGGGCCGGGGAUGGAACCUGCAUCCUCAUGGAUACUAUCGGAUUCGUUUCUGCUGUGCCACAACGGGAACUCCCAACAGACCCCUUUUCCAAAUGACAACCCACACAACUCAGAAGUUAGCAAACUGCAAGCCCAAGGUUCAAGACAGAUGUUUCUAGGUCCAGAGUCCUGCCCAGCAUUGAAAACAAAGGACAGUCUGACCCCAGGAAUGUGUCAAACCCUCUGGCACUUGGGCCACCCAAGGAGACUAGAGAGGCUCAUCAGACUUGAAGGAAUAGGUGUGUCCUGUGCCUGAGGUGAGGCAGUUGGUGGGGGGUUGGGGGAGUCAGAGUUGCUUGUAAAUGAGUUCACAACUCUGGGCAAAUCCAGGUAGUUCCAUCAACCCAUCUUCAACCCAGGAUCUGAGCCUGGAGGUGUGUCCAGGGAGGGGCAUGUGGGAUCUGCACCUUCUUACACGAUGAAGUGAACAAGCAAAGCCCUUUGAGAGGUGGGUGUUUCUCUCUCCAAGCAAAAAACUAAAAUGACACACACUCCUCCCUAUAUCCCACACCAGACGCAGUAAAGGAGGUGAACCUAAGCCAAACAGGUAACCAGACUUAAAUGAAACAGCAUCCCGCUCUUCAUUUCUGUGUCUUGGCUUGAGGUAAGAAUUUUCAUUAGGGGUGAAAGGGAGGAGGGGAGAGGCUCAGAUGGAAGGAAAAGAAGAUGUUUUUCAGAGAACCCUCAAGAGACAAGGCAAGGGUUGGAAGCAAAGUGAUUACCAAGGAACCGCUGUUUUUGCACUCCCCAUUCACGACCACCUGCCAAGAUGCCCAAAUGCCAAAAAAAAAACAGUGCAAACUGGAUCCAGGAACUCUGCAAGGCCAAUAUUCAACGCAGUGCUUUUUGGGCUUGUUUGUCGGCCUCUGCAGAAUCUGAAGGCCAUCAGAAUUCUUUUUUUGUGUGUCUUUUUUUGGGGAGGGGAGCUUCACCCACUGCAUAUGGAAGUUCCCAUGCUGUGUCCAAUUGGAGCUGUAGCCACCGGCCUACACCACAGCCACAGCAACACAUGAUUUGAGCCACAGCUCAUGGCAAAGCUGGAUCCUUAACCCAAUGAGGGAGGCCAGUGAUCAAAUCAGUGUCCUCAUGGAUGCUAAC